rnacentral:lncRNA from 1 species
UGGGUUUGUGGUUUACAAAUAAACAACAAAGUUAUCUUUAUUCUUAACCUCAAUAAAUAUAAAUAUAGAAAACGUCACUAAUAAUACUAGAUCGUUUAUUGGUUCUACAGUUUUUAUAUAAAAAGUCUAGGCUAAAUUUUAUAAAAAUAAUAUGCAUAAUUUUGAUGGCAUAAAUGCAAGCCCGUCGGCUAAGGUAUCAUAAUCGGAAGCCUAAGGUUAUGCACGCCACCUCUCAUUUUCUAUCCUUAUGUGUAUAAAAAUUCCAAAAGUCAAUAAUUGGUUAGAUAUUAGGCAGAUGAUGAAUGUUUUAUCUUAUGUUUCUAGGUUAGAUUGUCAAAUUUUAUAAUUGGUUAAUAGCCAUUAAUGAACGGGUACAAAGUAUAAAAUGAGAUAUCUAAUAAUAAAUACGGAUAUAGAAGAGAGUUCAUUCAAGAUUUAAUAGGUUGUACUUCAAUUGUAAAUUUUUUUUGUGUUAACGUGGGACUAGAUCAUUUGGUAGAGGCACUCGUCUUUUAGUGAGAGGUUUUAGGUUUAAUUCCAAGUAAGAUGUAAAUUAGGAAUAACUUGGUGUAAUUUAAAAGUAAAAUUUUUCAUUAAAAAAAUUAAAUCUCUUUGACGUUGAUUUUGAGAGUUUUUUCCCAAAAGAGUGUUGGUGGAAAAUUUAUUUACUAAAAUGGGUGAUUUGAAAAGUAUUUACCAAAAUAGAUGUUUUGCAAUGACUUUUUUUUCUCAAAUUGGUGAGGGUGAAAAAAAUAUUUACCAAAAUGGGUGAUUUAAAACAUAUUUAUUAAAAUGAGUGUUUUUUCUUAUUUCUUUAUUAUUAACUAAUCUAUUAUAUUUUUUACUUUUUUUUCGGUUAACCUAAUAUGUUUUUAAUUUAUUUUUCUUCAAACAAUUACUCUUUAUAUUUUAUUUACUUUUUAACUAACCAAAUACAAUUCUUUUUUUUCUUAACACCUUUUCUUUUAUUUCUUUUUACAUUUAUAUAGCUGAAUCAUUCUAAU